GCAAGUCGAACGCGUUGGCCCAAUUGAUUGAUGGUGCUUGCACCUGAUUGAUUUUGGUCGCCAACGAGUGGCGGACGGGUGAGUAACACGUAGGUAACCUGCCCAGAAGCGGGGGACAACAUUUGGAAACAGAUGCUAAUACCGCAUAACAACGUUGUUCGCAUGAACAACGCUUAAAAGAUGGCUUCUCGCUAUCACUUCUGGAUGGACCUGCGGUGCAUUAGCUUGUUGGUGGGGUAACGGCCUACCAAGGCGAUGAUGCAUAGCCGAGUUGAGAGACUGAUCGGCCACAAUGGGACUGAGACACGGCCCAUACUCCUACGGGAGGCAGCAGUAGGGAAUCUUCCACAAUGGGCGCAAGCCUGAUGGAGCAACACCGCGUGAGUGAAGAAGGGUUUCGGCUCGUAAAGCUCUGUUGUUAAAGAAGAACACGUAUGAGAGUAACUGUUCAUACGUUGACGGUAUUUAACCAGAAAGUCACGGCUAACUACGUGCCAGCAGCCGCGGUAAUACGUAGGUGGCAAGCGUUAUCCGGAUUUAUUGGGCGUAAAGAGAGUGCAGGCGGUUUUCUAAGUCUGAUGUGAAAGCCUUCGGCUUAACCGGAGAAGUGCAUCGGAAACUGGAUAACUUGAGUGCAGAA
rnacentral:rRNA from 2 species